UGCUUAUGCACUGCCAGUAGAGGGGUGGCUCACCCUUUUUCUUGCCAGCCCAUUCUGAAUCUGGGCAUUUCUCCUGGGAAGUUCUUCCUCAGAUGGAGUGGAGCAGUUGUCUCUGCAUAAGCAGAGACUUGAAAAAUGAUUGCGCACUGGUGUUUGUCCUCUCUUGCUGCUCCUGGAAUCCUGCUGCCACAUGAAUGAGCAUGCUGAAGGCUAAGAGGCUAUGUGGAUGGAGAAGCACUGAAGCUCCCCGUCUGGCACUCAGCCGACCAUAGAUGCCUGAGUGAGUGCUAGCAGAGGAGAACCAUGGAGAGGAGGGGAGGCUGGACCGGGCUUCACCUCACACGGUGCAGGAAUGGCCACAAAGUCCUGAUGAAGAGCAGCCCCUGCGGGACAUCCCUGACAAACAACCCUACAGCUUCUGCUUGAGUCUCCCCAGCAUGGGGAACUCACCACCUUCCAAGGCACCUCUCUUGUAAAUGAAGAAAUUAAAACUGCAAGUUGAAACUGAGUCACUGAUGGCGCCAGAUGUUUCUGGAGCAAAACUGGGAAAGAGGGUGAGCAUUGGAAAGACACCUCCUCCUGUUAUCUUCGAGAAGCCAUUUACUGGGAAAACAAAAACUGAGCUCCAUGAUGCAUAAAUUCCAAAAUGCAGAGGCCAAUUUCUUUCCCUUUGACCACAUGUCGGAAAGGCUCGGGGUUCAGUAACUGGAGGAGGCAGUGUUUAAUCCCAAUUUUACCAGUGAAGAAACUGAGGCUCAGAAAAACAAAGUGACUCCAAAUUCCUUGAGCACCUGGCCAGGGUCAGUCCCCACGGUGGCUGAGAUGGUUGACCAAUGGCCUCUGGGGAGAAGGCUAUGGGCACAGACACUGGUCCCUGGCUUGUUGGGAGGGAACAAGGAUGUCCAUCUGUCCUCCCUCAACACUGCCUCCUGGGGGACAAGGAAGAUGCCCAGAGUGAGUGGGCAGGGUGGGCGAUGGACUCAUACCCUGCCUUGGUGUCUCUGUGGCUCCUGGAAGAUCCUUGCAAGCAGCGGUGAGCACUGUGACUUGAGCCCUGCGGUGGUGGCUUGCCAUGUGGCCAGUCAAGGUGGACGAUGGACUCAUAUGCUGCCUGGGUGUCUCUGUGACUCUUGGGAGAUCCUUGCUGGCAGCGGUGAGCACUGUGACUUCAGCCCUGCAGUGGUAGCUGGUCACAUGGCCAGUCAAGGCUCAGUCUUCUUAGUAAUCAAAGGACUGAAAGUGUCCAGUAGCUUUGGAUGAUGGUUGAGGACUCGUUAAUAAAGACCACUGCCCUAUGGGAAUGCGUUAUACUCUCUGGAAUGAGCCGUGCAGGUGGGCUCAGAGAACAUACCAUUUGCACACUCAUAACAAUGUAAAAGUAUGAAAGUAAAAGUCAUAUGAAAUCCUCCUGUGCAGAGCUAGUUAAUGUUGGGUGACUGUCACUCCAGGCAUCUGUCUUUGCACUUGCAAGAGGGAUAACAUGUAGGUAAAUAGGAAAACACUGUACAGUAUAUGCUAUCCUUUACUUACUUUAGUCAAUGGUAUAUCAACAAACAUAAAUCUAUAUCAUUUUAACUGCAUCUGAUUCCAUUGUAUGAAUGUACCUUACUUUAUUUAAUCAGUAGGCUUCUGAUUGCAAUUUGCAUUGGGUUUUGCAUUUCAGCCAUCUUUCGUGAUCCUUAAA
rnacentral:lncRNA from 10 species